rnacentral:rRNA from 1 species
UAGGGAAUCUUCGGCAAUGGGGGGAACCCUGACCGAGCAACGCCGCGUGAGUGAAGAAGGUUUUCGGAUCGUAAAGCUCUGUUGUAAGAGAAGAACGGGUGUGAGAGUGGAAAGUUCACACUGUGACGGUAUCUUACCAGAAAGGGACGGCUAACUACGUGCCAGCAGCCGCGGUAAUACGUAGGUCCCGAGCGUUGUCCGGAUUUAUUGGGCGUAAAGCGAGCGCAGGCGGUUAGAUAAGUCUGAAGUUAAAGGCUGUGGCUUAACCAUAGUAUGCUUUGGAAACUGUUUAACUUGAGUGCAGAAGGGGAGAGUGGAAUUCCAUGUGUAGCGGUGAAAUGCGUAGAUAUAUGGAGGAACACCGGUGGCGAAAGCGGCUCUCUGGUCUGUAACUGACGCUGAGGCUCUAAAGCGUGGGGAGCAAACA